rnacentral:lncRNA from 1 species
GCUACCUGGGGUCUAAGGGGCUAUGCUAACACCAUGGACUGUAUGGUUUUGGCAGGGUACCUUGAAUGCUUGACACCUCAUUAGCAUAACCUAAAACAUGGCUUUCCAAAAUAAUUAAACCUCCUAAAUUUGUAAUGGAACAUGAGUAUUUGUACCGUUUUGGCUCACAUUCAAUGUCGUGGUCUUAUCUGUUCCCUAAAUGAUCUCGCCGCAUAAUUCUAUUACUCAUCUCAUUCCAUCAUGAUUUAUUUAAGAUCUGCCUGCAGCAAAGGCAUGCACCAUUUCCCCAUACAGAAAUGAGGUUGUGGAAAGCCAAGAGAUACAGUAUUGUGCAAUUUUAUGUAACCUGGCCGAGUUUCAUUCUGUUUAUCCCAGGGGCCAGCCUGGGGUCAGACCAUAAAAUCAGUGAUGCAAAGCUCCCUAACCGGAUUUGUUUAUGCAAAUGCAUACAUUCGUUUCAGUAACAGGAACCCCUGAAAAUGAAGGAGCUGGUGGUAAGUUAUUCUUCCACUCCUGUAAUUACUGAACCCACAUCAGUCAUAUCGAUGGCCAUUUAGUGUAUGCCCACAGCAAGCACACAUAACAAUUGGAG